rnacentral:rRNA from 1 species
UACGAAGGGGGCUAGCGUUUGCUCGGAAUCACUGGGCGUAAAAGGGUGCGUAGGCGGGUCUUUAAGUCAGGGGUGAAAUCCUGGAGCUCAACUCCAGAACUGCCUUUGAUACUGAGGAUCUUGAGUUCGGGAGAGGUGAGUGGAACUGCGAGUGUAGAGGUGAAAUUCGUAGAUAUUCGCAAGAACACCAGUGGCGAAGGCGGCUCACUGGCCCGAUACUGACGCUGAGGCACGAAAGCGUGGGGAGCAAACAGG